rnacentral:tRNA from 1 species
UGGCUCAGAGGUCAAAGUGUCUGCCUGGAAUGCAGGAGACCAGGGUUCGAUCCCUG